UGGGGAAUCUUGCGCAAUGGGGGCAACCCUGACGCAGCCAUACCGCGUGUGCGAUGAAGGUCUUCGGAUUGUAAAGCACUUUCAGUGGGGACGACGAUGACGGUACCCACAGAAGAAGUCACGGCUAACUUCGUGCCAGCAGCCGCGGUAAUACGAAGGUGGCGAAUGUUGCUCGGAUUCACUGGGCGUAAAGCGUCGGUAGGUGGUGUUUUAAGUUAGAGGUGAAAGCCCCGCGCUCAACGUGGGAACUGCCUUUAAAACUGGAACACUCGAGAGUAUCAGAGGAUGGCGGAAUAACUGGUGUAGAGGUAAAAUUCAUAGAUAUCAGUUGGAACACCCAUGGCGAAGGCAGCUAUCUGGGAUAUUUCUGACACUGAGCGACGACAGCGUGGGGAGCAAA
rnacentral:rRNA from 1 species